rnacentral:rRNA from 1 species
UACGUAGGGUGCAAGCGUUAAUCGGAAUUACUGGGCGUAAAGCGUGCGCAGGCGGUGAUGUAAGACAGAUGUGAAAUCCCCGGGCUCAACCUGGGAACUGCAUUGUGACUGCAUCGCUGGAGUGCGGCAGAGGGGGAUGGAAUUCCGCGUGUAGCAGUGAAAUGCGUAGAUAUGCGGAGGAACACCGAUGGCGAAGGCAAUCCCCUGGCCUGUACUGACGCUCAUGCACGAAAGCGUGGGGAGCAAACAGG